UGACGCUCGGGGGACCGCAAGCCACCGCAGACAGCACCGGCUGCGGAUACAUACCCAGGUCGGCGUACAGCCGGACGGUCCACAUAGCCAUGUAUGUGGUGGGAGGGAUGCUGGUGUUCAUCUGCAUACCGCUGGUGAUGGCGGCGGUCUCCUGCCUGCGGAACCGGCCGUGGCGGCGGCG